AUAUAAAAUUCCUAGAGUGGACUUUAAAUGAUUGUCUUCCCAGCAGAACUGAUAAUCCAGUAGGAAUUGAAUGAAAACUAGUUCACAGCUGAAUUGAAAAGGAAUACCCAAGGCUUAAAGGACUUUGCAAGGGUUGUUCUCUAUCCAUGGAACAUACUCUCUCUUUAAUUCCUCCACGAAGAUUUCCUAUCUUCUUUCAAGACACAGCAAGAACCAACUUCUAUGUGGAGUCUUUUCUAAUCCCCAAGUUCCAAUUCCCUCCUUCUCAAGAUGUUCAGUUCUCAAAUUUAUGGCAGAAAAACCUGGAUCUGAUAAAGACCUCCUGGCCAUCAUCUGGUAAAGUGGAUUCUGUGAAAAGGAGGCCAGUCAUUCCAACCAACUACCAAAUAACUCUUUCAUAGAGGAGAUACAAGGCACCCUAAGGAAGAGACAGGAAGCUGCAUGUGCCAGACAAGCCAAACCGCCAUGACCACCAUAUUAGUCAUCAUCUCACUUCAGACUCUGAAAGAAGCAGCCCAAUACCUUAAAUUGAAAAGCCUUGAAAACAGUAGCAUCUUUCAAAGCACCAGAUUUGUUUUAAGGUCAGCCUCAAGAGCCAUCAUAAAGUGAGAUAUCAUUUUGGAGAAAGGGAACAACUUUCUCAUCAUCACAGUAAUUAAUACGACCAACUAUCACCAGAAAGAUAGGCACAGGAUCCUUGUGAAUGGUGUACAAUAUAUUUCAUCAGGGGAAAUCACAUUAAAGAAUAGAUAUUACCAUCUACCUUGCUGCUUCAUCUUAAGGCCCAAGGGACUUUUCCAUUUGAUUCGUAACUGAAACUUUCUGUAUAUGCUCUGUUGCCCCAUUAGAAUGGGAAUUCCUUGAAAACAAGGACUUGAUUUUCUAUUUGCAUUCCCAAUCCUUAGCAUAUGUUUGGCACAUUGUAAAUACUUAAAUAUUUUAUAACUUUAUUUCUUCCUUUCUUCCUUCCUUCCUAAAGUAUCUUAACUUACCUAGAUCACUCAUGUGCCAGACAGGUGAGAAAUACAAACACACAGGUGAAAAAAUUUAUACCCUGAAGGAAUUCGUAUUAGAAACUCUUAGGCUGAGGAGUGUAACCCAUUCACAGGUAAAUAAAUAUUGGAUUUAUACAAAAUCA
rnacentral:lncRNA from 1 species